GGGGAGCAAACAGGAUUAGAUACCCUGGUAGUCCACGCUGUAAACGAUGAGUACUAGGUGUCGGGGGUUACCCCCCUCGGUGCCGCAGCUAACGCAUUAAGUACUCCGCCUGGGAAGUACGCUCGCACGAGUGAAACUCAAAGGAAUUGACGGGGACCCGCACAAGUAGCGGAGCAUGUGGUUUAAUUCGAAGCAACGCGAAGAACCUUACCUAAGCUUGACAUCCCAAUGACAUCUCCUUAAUCGGAGAGUUCC
rnacentral:rRNA from 1 species